rnacentral:rRNA from 1 species
UACGAAGGGGACUAGCGUUGUUCGGAAUCACUGGGCGUAAAGCGCACGUAGGCGGAUUUGUAAGUCAGGGGUGAAAUCCCGGGGCUCAACCUCGGAACUGCCUUUGAUACUGCGAAUCUUGAGUCCGAUAGAGGUGGGUGGAAUUCCUAGUGUAGAGGUGAAAUUCGUAGAUAUUAGGAAGAACACCGGUGGCGAAGGCGACCCACUGGAUCGGUACUGACGCUGAGGUGCGAAAGCGUGGGGAGCAAACAGG